AAUCCAAUAUAGUGUAGGGGCUAUUACUUCGAGCUCACUUGUGGAGAACCGUGUAAGGCGGGUUCUAUUCCCCUAUCUGAG
rnacentral:tRNA from 1 species